GCGCGAUUGAAUGAGCCGAUGUCGGAUUAGCUAGUUGGCGGGGUAAAGGCCCACCAAGGCGACGAUCCGUAGCUGGUCUGAGAGGAUGAUCAGCCACACUGGAACUGAGACACGGUCCAGACUCCUACGGGAGGCAGCAGUGGGGAAUAUUGGACAAUGGGCGCAAGCCUGAUCCAGCCAUACCGCGUGGGUGAAGAAGGCCUUCGGGUUGUAAAGCCCUUUUGUUGGGAAAGAAAUCCAGCCGGCUAAUACCCGGUUGGGAUGACGGUACCCAAAGAAUAAGCACCGGCUAACUUCGUGCCAGCAGCCGCGGUAAUACGAAGGGUGCAAGCGUUACUCGGAAUUACUGGGCGUAAAGCGUGCGUAGGUGGUCGUUUAAGUCCGUUGUGAAAGCCCUGGGCUCAACCUGGGAACUGCAGUGGAUACUGGGCGACUAGAGUGUGGUAGAGGGUAGCGGAAUUCCUGGUGUAGCAGUGAAAUGCGUAGAGAUCAGGAGGAACAUCCAUGGCGAAGGCAGCUACCUGGACCA
rnacentral:rRNA from 1 species